CAGCAGCCGCGGUAAUACAGAGGGAGCAAGCGUUAAUCGGAUUUACUGGGCGUAAAGGGCGCGUAGGUGGUUAUUUAAGUGAGAUGUGAAAGCCCCGGGCUUAACCUGGGAACUGCAUCUUAUACUGGGUAACUGGAGUGCAGUAGAGGGUAGUGGAAUUUCCGGUGUAGCGGUGAAAUGCGUAGAUAUCGGAAGGAACACCAGUGGCGAAGGCGGCUACCUGGACUGAGACUGACACUGAGGCGCGAGAGCGUGGGGAGCGAACAGGAUUAGAUACCCCGGUAGUCCCUGUCUCUUAUAC
rnacentral:rRNA from 1 species